rnacentral:lncRNA from 1 species
CCAGACCGUGCUUAGGAAUUAACGGUAGGAGUAAAUGCUUGGUCAAGACCCAUAAAUAUUUGCGGAGAAUCAGUCAGAGAAUCACCAACAAUAUCUCAGACUAUCUUUGAAUACCUUUUAUAGCUCUUGACUGUUUCUUUUCAGAAACAACAGUUCCAAUGCAUGUAGACUAUUCUACAUAUGCAGUCAGACACGUUGCACGCGAUGUCUUAACAUUCAACGUGGCCUUUGCCUGCAUUCUUCCUAUCAUCAUUUCCUAAGACCACUUUCGUACCUCCAGUGGUAGCUUGACAUCUGGCACCACUACAGCCAAAAUCACAAACACCAGUAGGUGGUUACUCCCCUGUACCACACAACUGUAACACUCGGGCUUAUUCUACUACACCACACCCAUAUUUCCUAAUGACUAUAAGUUUCAGAAGGAACUAACAAUAUUGUCCAAGGCAAUGUCAUGACAUCCGGUCAAACAUUCUUAUGCUCACUCAUCCUUG